GCAUGAGGGGGGGAGGGUCAGAGGGAGAAGCAGACUCCCCGCUGAGCAGGGAGCUCGAUGUGGGGCUUGAUCCCAGGACCCUGGGACCAUGACCUGAGCCGAAGGCAGACGCUUAACCGACUGAGCCACCCAAGUGCCCCACACCUGUUUUUCUUUUUAAAAAACAUGUGGCUGCUAGAAAGUUUAAAAUUACACAUGUGGCUUGCAUUAUGUUUCUGUUGGACAGAGCUCUGCUAGACAGUGAAUUUUAUGGCUAAAGUUUGGGCAGAGGCACUCUGCAUUGAAAGCGGUGGGUUCUUCUGGGUCCUUGGGCUUCAGUGUCCUCAUCCGUAAGACUAGGAGGCUGGGAUCCAUUAUCUCUAACAGAUUCUUCUAGCUUGAGCAGUGUGGUGGUGGCCAGCGAGCUGUCUGGGCCUCAGUUUCCUUAUUUGUCAGAUGGGGUGGAUGAUUCCUGCCUUGCCGUCUGCUCAUUUAUCCAGUUAGCGAAGGGAUGUGGAAACACUCGGAGAGCAUAGGGAACUGUAUGAAUGCCGGGACACACCUUUAGGCACCGCGAGAGGCUCAGCGAGGCAGAGUAAUCCAGAGAGGGAGGAAGGAGAGUAAUCCACGGUGUCUGGAGCUCCUGUGCCCUGUAUGAGGGCCAGAGGGCAGUUUUCUUUGUUGCUGUUUUGCUCAUGGAAGUGACUCGCCCAAGGUGAUGGGGGCAGGGUCAGUGUAGCUGGAGGAGGCCUGAGGGCUUUGGGUUUCUCGCUAGGUCUACUCGCACCCCUGCACUGUUUGCACCCCAGGGCGUUCGGGUCUGAUUGUCUCAUAGUGAAAGCCAAACUGCACUUUGGAGACUCUCUUCUCUCUUGGCUGGAGGUACCUGGGACACUGGGAACUGUGAGGCUGGAGGCUGGCCCCAGCGCAGGAGGCUGAGAAUUAAGCUUGUUGUUCUUGCCCUGCCACAUUCCAGGGCGGUUCUGUUCCCCUUGAGGCCACUGGGUACCUCCUUUAUUUUUAGCUAGUUCAGUGUAACAGCUUUGUUCUCGUCCUGGGCGGCAGCUUGGUCUCUCUCAUCAGCCGGGAAGCGCCUGUUAUGGGGUAUUAGUGCAUACCAAGGUCGCCAGGAGGACCUUGGGCAUGACCUCAAGGCCUUACACGGUUCUCCUAGCAAGAGGAUUCUGGGGAACUAGGGGAGGAGUGUCGAGUUUGGAGUCUUGAGCGGGAGCCACACCGGUUGCUGGGUGCUUGGGGUCCCUCACUUGAUUUCAUGGCCCCAGCUUCCUCCUGUGUAAGAUGCAGUCUCUGCGCCCCACCGCAAGUCAGGGCAGGUGGAUGCGCCCAGCAUGGGCCCUGUCCCUGCUUAACAUCUCCCUUCCCCAGACCUCAGUUUCUUAUCAAGAGCGGGGAUCCCAUUUUCCUCCUGAUUUGUUGUGAGUACAUAGAAGUGUCAAAUGGAUAAUCUGUGGUGCCCAGCCCAUGCUUGUUGAAAGGGAGCUCGGAGCUCGCAGUUAGAAGCAUAAAUAAUGGGGGCGCCUGGGUGGCUCAGUUGGUUAAGCGACUGCCUUCGGCUCAGGUCAUGAUCCUGGAGUCCCGGGAUCGAGUCCCGCAUCGGGCUCCCUGCUCGGCAGGGAGUCUGCUUCUCCCUCUGACCCUCCUCCCUCUCAUUCUCUCUGUCUCAAAUAAAUAAAUAAAAUCUUUAAAAAAAAAAAAAAAGAAGCAUAAAUAAUGGUAGAUAAGGGUGAAGAACCCUUUCCGGUCCCUGGGCUGCCUGAGGGGACGGACCUCCGUAAAGAGCCUGGGGAAAAGGAACCUCCCCUUACAAUAUUUUAACUUGCGGAAGGGGUCCUGUUUGCUCUGGUGAUAUUGGUGCACCCAUCUUUCACUUGGGAGCCUCUAGAGUAGAAUUCAUCUUCCCAAACACAUUUCCUCUGGAGGCUGUCAGGUAUUUAGCAGUCUCUGGGAGGCCUGAAGAGUGGAGUGAGAAUCACAGUUAUCUGUAGGGCUCUGUGUCCUGAUGGGCCUCAGCCUUGAGAUGCAGAUGUUGUGUGUGUGUGGGGGGGGGGGCGGUUAGAGGACCAGAGAACGCCUGGAACACUCUGUCCCUCAGGGAGAAGCAGUUGGCCCCACGCAGGUCCCCAGGAGGCUGAAGUGAGGGGCUGGGCCAUUCAGGGAAGAGGAGCGUCCUUAUCUGAGCCUGCAAACCCUUCUGAGACCUCCCUGCCUAGGCGGCAUCAGAGGCCUUCCCGCCCAGAAGUGCAGGCACUCAGCCCAGGGGAAAAGACACCCGGAGGGCUUUGCAGAGGACGCAAAAGGCCUGGAAGGCAUGUCCCCUGUCCCCUGGGUGCUCCCAGACUAGCUGGGGGCACAGAUCAUGUGUGUGUUGCUGCCACUGCUGGGAGAGGCUCUCCCGCUGCCAUGUGUCCACCGGGGCAAAUUAAUACCUACAUAGUGACCACUGAUGGCGGAGGGGAUGUCGAGGAGAGGAGCAGCUGCUGUUGGGCGGGGCGGAUCAUGGCAUGCCCCUCGGAGGAGGUGAGUCUGGAGGUGGACUUUGGGAGAAAGGAGGAGUGAGGCAUGGAGAGGCCCUUUACAGGCUGAGCAAGCAGAGGGGUUGGUGGAUCCAUGAGGAAAGGCCUUUGGGGGUGAAGAACCAUUGUUAGGGCCCCAGGCUGCCCGAGGGAAGGCAGGCUGGUGCUGGGACGGUGGCUCCCGUGGGGAACUCUGCAGGGUAAGGAUGUCUCUUCUUGUGGCCACGAGGAGCUGAGCAGGAGCUGCUCCCCAGUUGCCAAGAACAGGACAGAAACACAGGUUCCUUGGGCCGCCGCGCAUAGCAGUGAGGUGGGGCUGGGCACUGAGGAGCCUGGGCAGGCGGGAGGAGGGGCAGGAGGGGGGUUAGGCCAGCGCGCAGCACAGCAGGGCAGAGCCUUUGGGCUCAGUAUGGUUUUGAGCUUCCUUCCUGGGAUUUUGUGAAGGGGGACGAGAACAGGUCAGACAGCUUAUGGCUGGUGGAGAGUGAAGAGGAGUAGCAUGCUUUCUGCAAGGUGAGGGAGCCGUGCUGCCUGUAGAGUGGUGGGAGCUGUGGUCUUAAUGCCACCCACAUGCCCACAUCUCCCGGGCCUAGGAGGAACCUGGCCUGGGUUCUCCCCGGCUGAGUGGGAAAGCUUGCAGAGAAAGAAGCACAGGACCAGGACCCAGGGAACUUGGUGUCUACCCCAGUUCUCUUGCUGACCAGUGGUCACCUUGGCCGUUUGAAGAACCUCUUUGGCCUCUGAUUUUUCCUUAGGGCAUUGGAAGUAAUGGCACCAUCACCAUGUCCCUGGACAGGAUAGUUUGAGGACCACUGUGAAAGUGCUGUGCAUAGUAGAGAGAGGCCUUUGUAGUUCAAGGUCAUGUGAACACACCCCACGUUACAGAUGGGAAAACCCAGGUGCCUACGGGAUAUAAAAGCCAGAGGCGGACGCGGAUGUCCGCGUUACCCUGUCCGUGCCUCAUCAUUGAACCAGGCAGGGUCCUGAGGAAAUCUAAGUAUGGUUCUUAGUGUGAGUCUUAAAGGCAGGUCCUGGAGGAAAUAGGAAGGUGGGGUUAAGAUUUCAAAGGAGAAAGUGUUUAUGAUUCCAUUUUUCCCCUUCUCCCACCCCCAGGUACGAUUCCAUUUUUGUAAAACAAACAAACAAACAAACAAAAAAAGGCGAGCUCUGUAUGUAUGAGUGUUUAGGUAGAAAAACCAUCCUAAUCCAUAAAGCUCUUAGCAGGGAUUUCUCUGGGAAGACUGGGGGGGAGAAAUUAUACUUUUUACUUUUAUGCAUUUUUGUGUUGUAUGAACUUUUUAAUAAUAAGUGUAUAUUGCUUAUUGUGACUAUAACUUACUGUUAGUUAAAAAAAAAAAGAACAACCUAAUAAAACAGAACAAUGUUUCAGAGGAAUUUCGCCAGAGUCUUUAAUUUGCCGUGGUUUCGGGCAUAUGGCUGCGCUGCCUUUAGUGGUCUCUUCUACAGAAUGGGUCAGUAAUGUUUGGUAAUCAGUGCAUUUCUCCUAGCUAAGUAAGUCAAGGACACGUGAUUACCAGUUAGGGCACAGAGGGAGAUGGCCUCCCUUUUGAUCAUUUCGAUGGGGGGGGUUGGGAAAUGUUAUUUGAUGUUUACCUUGUUCUUGGCACAUUCUUAAAAUUUUCCCGGUAGCUGUCUGAGGUGAAAGCAUUAUUAUCGCCUUUAACAGUGAGGAAGGCAAGACUCAGCCAGGUUAAGUAACUUGUCCAAAGCCACACAGCUACUAAAUGGCAGAUCCGAGGUUCAAACCCCGUUCUCUUCAUCCACAGUCCCGUGUUCUUUCCAAGGCGUAAGGAGAAGCCCAGAAUGAGGGCUUAGAAGACCUGGGAUCUAGACCCGGCUGCCACUUCCAAACCAUGAGACCUGGUACGGGACGACGUGUGUGACAGUCCUGAGUAUAAACGGCAGAGCCCUCGGCAGAUGGCGAACUAUUAUCCAAGUGACACUCAUCGGCCCGGUUCUCUCCUGAGUCAGCCUCCCUAAGAGAAGUGAAUCCGAUGUUGAAAUCUCUGCCCUGUCCUGAAGCAAGAGUUUUCUUAACCCUCCACUGCCUGCCCCUCAGUUGUCUUUGCGAGUAGAGCGUCUCCCGGGGGAAGUUCACUUGGAAGGCGGGCGCGGGGCACCUGCAGUCACCCCUGUGCCCUGCCUUGUUCUGGGGCCUCGUGGCGGAGCCGAGGAGAGAAGGAGUGAAAAAUUUCCAUGGCCAUGUCCCCGUCCACCGGGGGGGGGGAGGGGGGUGUGUGUGUCAAAAUGCCCAGGUCACCAGGGGUGACCGUGCCUCCUGCCACAAGGGCGUGUUCCCUCGGGCAUGUCCGGUCUUGAGUUGGUGUUUUGUGCGUGUUCUGUUGGGAGCAGGAGCAGGGGCUGAGGUCGGGCCCAGCGGUGUUCGCGUGCAGCCCAGUGCGGGCCCCUGGCCUCUCUCGCUAGCCCGACAGCUCUGAGCCAGAGGAGCUGGGGGGGGGGGGGGGCGUGCUCUCUCUGCCGGGGUCUCCUCCGGCCUCUGCCGUGGUCCAGCUUCGGGCGUGGCCGAGAGCUUCCAGGCCUUCCUGGUCCGCAGGAAGGCCAAUCCAGGACAAGGGUUUGCACAGUAUUAGGGCACCUUCCCUUCAGGGGCUGGGGAGAGGUGCCCGGAGCCGGGGCGGGGGUCCUUCUCAGUCUUGGCCUAGGGUCUGCGGGACCCAGCCCGCGGGGCGGUGUCUGGGAGCCUGGCACCUCCCCGUUUCCUUCCCAGUCGGCCCGGAGGCCUGCGUGCGUGUGUCAGACGCCACGUGCGAGAGGGAGCGGGGGCGGGGGGGGUGAGGGCGGGCUGAGGGUUCCUGUCACGGAUUUCUGGGAGCUUCUGGCCUGUGACAGACCAUCCGAAGGCCGAGGCUUGCGGCUUGCAGCCUCCGGGGGUGCUGUGCUGUGGCCUCUGGUCACCAAACUGCAGAGGAAGGGGUUGGAGGCACAGGAGGGAUCCUUGGGCACCCGCGUGCGGCCGAGCAGCAGCCCCUGUUUGCGCAUGUGUCAGGGGAGGGCGGGGCGCAGGGAGGAGGGGCGCGAUCUGAGACGCUGAGGAGAGGGGAUAGAAAUGGACAAGUUGAGAAGACCGCAGACGUCGGCCAAACCCCCGGAGAGCAGAAGUUGUCCUUCCUCAGGGCUGCCUCCCUCUGCCGGCCUCGGCUCCUGGGCCUCUGGCCCCACCGAAGGGAUAGCAGCUCUCCUGCUGGGUUUCUUGCAGGGCGCAGCCGCCCCGAGAUGCGCAGCACGCGGGCAGGGGGGUUGGCCUGACACCCUCCCUCCCUCCCGCCAGCCACGACCCAGUCGCCUUUCCCAGGUGGACAGGGGCAGUGCGGCCAGCUGCCAGGCAGGGCUGGCCUGAACGAGGGGAGCGAGGCCCCUGGCUCAGUGAGGCGCUGGGCACUCUGGGCCCUUGGGAGUGUUCCACAAGUGUCCCCCACGUGGGCUUUGCACCUGUGUUUCCUGCGCCGCUUGAAGGGCCCCAGUCCGUGUGCCGGGGACCCGCUGAGCCCUGCACCGGGCACUGCCUGGCUGGCCAGCCCACCCCCGGCCCAGCAUCUACGCUGGUUCAGAGGCCCCUCCUGAGCUCCCGAAGACCGGUAGAAAGGGCUCCCCAUGGCGUACUCUCUCAUUCACAUAAGAUCCAGGAGGCCUCAGGCUCAGUUGCAGCUCGGCCCCAACUUUUACCUUCUUUUUGGACCCCGUUUCCACAUAUCCUCUGAGAGGGGUUGUCCCACAUAAUGAUUCAUGAAUUUGAACCAGGGGAGGAAAGCCUCCCCUCCAAAGAUGCUUGGGGGCUGGCUUGUGUUCUAUGUCCCCAACCUGCUUCCUCCUUUGAGCUUCUAGGCUCUUUUAGGUUUUUUUCUCGGAUCAGUGUCCCUGUGCUAACCUGCACCUUGAGUCAAGGGGCAGGAUGGCUGUGGAGCUGCAGAGAGCCUUGGCUUUUCUAGAAGCUUCUUCCUGUCCAGCUGGAAAACCUCAGCUGCUUUACUUGGGCUUGCCUUCCACAGAAUAGGGGAACUGGUCUUCCCUGAGGGAUGGGAACAAUUGUAGGGAACAGCGUUAGACUUGCAGGUAUGAGACCUGACUCUCUUGGCUGUGUCUUUGAACUAAUCACUUUGCUUUGUGGAGCCUCAGUUUCUGCAUCUGUAAAAUGGGGAUCAAGAGUGUGUCCCUGAUAGGGUUGUUUUGAAGGUUAAAUGACCUACUGGAUAUGAAAACGCUCGAUAUACUGUGAGUCAUAAGAUAAAUAUAGAGUAGUAUUCUAGCAUUUAGUAUGAAUGAAAUUCCUCUUUUGUACCAGGCAACCGGGUGAGUUCCUUUCCCUAGGGAACUCACAUGUUUUAUCAGAAGAGAUAGACCUGUCAAUAAACACCUCAUGAUGGAGGGUGGGGAACAUGAUAGCAGAAGCAUGUCCCAAAUGCUAGAGUAGCAAUGUGACGUUUAUUGAUUUAGUGCAUGGUCUUGCCCCUGCUCACCCAUUCUGUCCCCAGCAGACAGCUCAAUCUCACUGAAACACGAAUCUCAUUGUUGAAUACUCGUCAAAGUCAUCCCAAGGCUCGCUGUGCUUUGGGAUCAAGUCUAAACUUGUUAACGUGUGUUACUAGAUCCUGCACAAUUUAGCACCUCACAGUCUUUCUAGUUGCCUCACUUUUUACACUGUGCUUGAUCCAUAUUGAAUUUCUUUCUGUUCCUUGCACCCCCCCCGCCCCCGCCUUUGGCCUUCACACAUGCUCUUGACUGUGCCUGGAUGCACACCCUGACAUCACGCCUCCGGGAAGACUUCUCAGUAGACUUCUGCUCCUGGGGCUGCUCACACACCCUUGUAUCGUGACUGCCUCUCCCCCGCCAGACUGUGGGCACCACGACAGCAAGUUUUGCUGAUCUGGUGCCAGCCUUGGGGGUAGGACAGAGCGUGUCUUUUCCUGAGGCCGUGAUUCUGGCAAUUUCUACUUAAGCUCUUGGUAGUUUCUGAUUGCUCUUCUCUGCAAAGCUUUAUCACAAGGGGGAAGGGAAAAGGUGGCUAUGGUAGGAGAGCUUGGGGUUGGGGGCAGGGUUGUCUCUGGCCGCUGAGGACACUGGGGGACUCCUGCCAAUGUGCUGAUGGUUCGUGAGGUAGGGGACAGGCAGGGCCUGGGGGAGCACAAGGCAUGGAGACCAGAGUGAGCAGAAGGCUGCCCCGGCUCAAAUAUGCAGAAAUGACCUAGGGCUGGGGACUCUGUGUCCUUGAGUCAGGACGUUUCCAGCCACCCUGCAAAGUGAGCAUGAGAUGCCAUUCUCAGAAGCAAAUAAGCAUCAAGGUCUUUUCAGCCUCAUUGGGUCAUAAAUCUCUCUCUCCAUCCCCCGGGAGCCUUCCGUGUGCAAGGCUGCGUGCAAGGCACUGGGGGGUCAAGGUGAAUGGAGCAGGCCCUGUAAAGGUGACAGGUGCAGAAAGCUGUGAUCCAGGCUCUACCGUGCAGAGAGAGCAGUGCUGAGGGAGGGGUCAUCUCCAGCCUGAGGAACUCCGACAUCUGCAGGAGGAGGUGAGAUUUGAUCUGAACCUGGAAGGGUAGGGGAGAUUUGGAUAGCUGGGAAGAGAAGGAAGGGCUUUUUGGUGGGAAAGCCCAGGGAUCCCCCCAGGAAUGGUCGAGGUGUUUAGGCCGGAGUUCCGAGAGCACGAAGCCACACCUGCAGAGUGUUGGCACCUCGGACAUGGAAGACACUGCGAGGCUUUGAGCACGGAAAAGAAUUGACCAGGGUUGCACUUUAAGAAGGUGACUGUGGCAGUGUUGUACAGGAUGGGUUGGAAGGGAGAGAGAUUGAAGAUGGAAAACCAUUACAGUGAAUGACUGAGGAGGAGUCAGGAAUGAGGAAGGAGAAAUCCAGGCACAUGGCUGUCAGGGCUUCCUAAGCCAAAGGGAAGCAAAAAGAAUGAAUGGUGAGACAAGGUGACUUAGAGCUGGGUACACAGUAGGUGCCCAAUAAAUACUUUCUGAGAGAAUAAAUGGGAAGAUACUAUGAAGGAAGAAUAGCCAGCGACAGUCCAAGGGGUCUGUGGUUAGGAGCCUUGGAACCCCAAGGAGAAUGGGGAGCCCAGGAAGAGCAGUAGAUUGGGGCAGUACUAGGAAUGACUUGGAAGUAUGGGCAUGUCGGCCCUGGCCCAUGGGUGUGGGAGCCUGGGGGCUGUCUCCGUACCUUCUGGGAACGGUGGAGUUAAGGUCUCUCUGCUCUGGGCCUGCCGCCCCUUGUCCUGAAUGAUUCCAGCCCUUUGGCCACUGUUUCCACCCACCUAGAAAUCGUGCCCGAGGAAACCCACCAGCACCACUGUGUCAUGUUAACACUAAUGUUUAUUGAGCACUUUCUGUGUUCUAAGUGCUUCUCCGUCUCAUCUGAUCUUAAAACUCCCAUCUGUGAGAUUUACCAUGUCAGUUUCUCAGUUGAGGAAACUGAAAAUCACACAGCUGUUAAGUGAUGGUGCUGGGAUUUGAACCCCACGUGGCUGGCUCUGGCACCCUCGUUCUUAACCUCUGUGACACUGCCAUCCACUUGAGGAUGAGCCAGCUACUUCUCACAGAGGAAAGGAGUCAUGUGUAGGCUUAGGGCGCCUCCGGCACGUGCUUGGGGAUCGAAGGGCAACUUCCGUGUAACAUUCGAGGAUUGGAAGGGACUUGGAGCUACCUGGUUCAUUUUACAGGAAGAACUGGGGCUCGGAGCAUUUGCAAGACUGCUCUGAGGGCCGUGGCUGAUGGCAUUUGCAUGACUGCCUAUCUCAUCAUGUGGUGUGUCAGAGUCUGUGGGAGCUGGUUUGUCCUAGACAGGCGGGCACCUCACCCUGUCCUGUCCUGCCCCAGCCAGACUCAAGCUGAACUGACCUUCUUCAGGCUUUGCCUCACUUUCCUUCCUUCUUAUC